ACUAGUUACCACAGCCACAGAGUCAAAAUGGACUAUAUCGUUAAAAAAAAACGUAUUUUGGGGCUAAAUUUAAGGUGAGGCAUAAAGUUAGCAGUGUGGUUGGGGUUAGGUUUAAAAUCAGAUUGUACGAAUAACAAUUGUAAAAAUGGGCGGGGUGUAGCCAUAAUUAUGACUUUGUGGUUGUGGUAACUAGUGACGACCAGAGGUUUAAUGUACAGCCAAAUAUACUCCAUUCUCUACUAUCUCUGGUACAGUUUAUCUGUGACAAAAUGUCGAUGACAACUAUGUAGAAGGUUACUCUGAUUUUCUGCUCUGUCCUCUGUGUUUUGUUUUUUCUUCCCUAAAUAAUUUUCCAGAGAGGGAAGAAUGAUGUAGGGCAGCCCGAGGUUGGUCCUGGGUAUUAUCCUCCCAUGAUGCAUCGCCUACAGAUGCCAGAGGAGUGCCUCGGACAGUGGAUGGAGGGGACUCAUGACUCUGGGCCCCACAGCCCUGAGGUCCUGGCUAAAGUCAAAGGCAUGGGCACACUUCAGAUCCGAGGAGCCACUAAAUCCAAUCUGAUCAGCCAGGACAUUCCCAUCUACGGAUUUGGAAUCCUACUCCACAUCUUCUUCAUCAUAUUCUAGAUAAGCUGCACAAUGUCCACCCUAGACUGGCUCAGUUAAAUGGAUAGACAAACUAUUUAGAGGCAGGAAUGUAGAUGAUGUAGACUAUUACAGUUUUUAACAGCAUCCAUGUAAUACCUAUACUAGCUAGGAGUCCAGUGCAUCCAGUACAUUAGAAGGUGUGCACACCAUAAAUGCAUUGUUGUAUUCACAGAUGACAACUAGGCCUAAAGGAAAAAGUACUAAACUGGUAUGCCGAUUUCCUACAAUGACAUUUGAAGCUUGGCAGGAGAGGAGGAGUAAGUAGACAGCAUCACAUCAUUAAUAGCUAGGCCAUUGUGAAUGACACAAUGAUGUAUAUGAUGUGCCUUUUAUCUCAUAGCGCAGUUGAUAACAGUCCCAUGCACCUGACCUCCCUAACACACACCAUUUAGGUCCUACAUUCCGUGAUGAUUCACCCUGAUGAAAGACUAAUGCAGGAUAUAACACACCCUGCGAGGAGAAAUGUCAUCUGACAAAUGAGCUCCUCUCUAACAGUCACCUCUUUCAUGACUUUGAGGGCUUAUUUUCAAUCAACUUCCUCAUUGUUUUGAUCGUUCCAUUUGUCAGGGCCCCUGCAGAAUGUAUCAGUAGCUCCAAUUUAAGCAACUCCAUGAUAAGGUAGAUUAGGAUCCUGUCCAACUCACAGGGAGCUUUGUUCCCUGCCUUUGUUAGACCUGGAUUAGCAAUCAGAAGUAAUGUUGUUUCAGCCCAGCAGUGUCUAAUACCAAUUACUGCAUGUAUUUUGGAUCAGCACUAAGAGGUUUAGCUCCAUUCAUCAAAUGAAUGCUAAGGGGGUAGGGGUGGGGGACAAUGUGACAGGGACAUGCAUAUAAAUCUAUUCAUGUCCUAUGUAUCAAUGCCACUCUCACCUUCCGUAAUUAAGAAACAUUGAGUCACAAUGGUUGAUUCGUUUCCAUUCCUGAGUAUUGAACGUGUAGUUCUGAACGUGCAGAGUGAAUGUUGAAUCUCAAGGCUUUCUGCAACAUUGGAAAGCAACUCUAGAUACGGUGUGUGUUCGUCCAUGCAUGAGUUUGCUCUUUAAAUCCCUGACUGCCAUGUUUCCCUCCCAGCAGAUGAUGAGCUGGCCCAGCUUCAGGAGAAGCUGCUGGAGACAGAGGGUGAAGUAGAGGAUCUUCUCCAGAAGGAGCAGCACUCCUAACAGCACGACUAGCAGCAAGGUUAGAAGAGCAUCCAAGCAGGAGAAGUUACUGCGGAAGCUGAGUAAGAUCAGUCGGGUGAUGCAGGAGGUACGACUGAUGGAGGGGGCCACACCUGAGAUGGUGCCCUACGCUGCUGACUGAGAGGGCUACCAUGAGGAGACCUACCCCCAGUAUUUUUUUAUUUAUUUACCUUUAUUUAACCAGGUAGGCAAGUUGAGAACAAGUUCUCAUUUACAAUUGCGACCUGGCCAAGAUAAAGCAAAGCAGUUCGACAGAUACAACAACACAGAGUUACACAUGGAGUAAAACAAACAUACAGUCAAUAAUAAAGUAUAAACAAUUCUAUA